CUCCACGGCUGGAAGCUGAUUGCAAAUUAAGUGUGAGGUUUCUGUACUGUAAAGAGUAGUUUCUUGCUGCAUCCAAUUAAGCUACUCCUGUUCUUUUGGCCAGAAGAUUGAGAAGACCUAUUGCUGAGCCUGUCCUUGCUGCCACUGUUGGAGGAAUCUCAGCACAAGAUGAUCUGCCAUCCAUAAAUGUGAACAAAAUGGUGCAGCAUUUAGGAGAUGAACAGCAAUCGCUACUGAUUUGAAUCUUCUGACAUGGGACCAGUAAGCGCAUCUGGUGAUGUUUCACGUUUUUUUCUGGAAGAGGAAUCAAGCCAAUCAGCUUAUUUUAUGGUAGAACUUAGAAUUUGUGACUAAGCUUUUAAUAUGUCAUUUUGCCCCACAUUUUGAGAACAAUCUCAAAAAGAGGUCUUUACUGUGGAGCUAAAGCAUGGCAGAUAUUCUCUAUCAUUCACCGUGACAUAGUUUGGUACCUCACAAAAUGCAUAGACAGGAAUUUAAUAUAAAGAAUUAGUCCAUUUACCGUAUACACAAAACAUAGAGCUUUUGUUGUAACACUUUGUUGUUUGUGUUUGGCAAAUCCAACAUUGAUAAGCAGCUCUGGAACUGCCAAUUAUAUAUUGAAAAUUUUAGCAACUUAAUCAUUAAUCAUUAAUGUGGUUGGAAUUUAAAACCUGAGGCUGUGCACUGGUUGUUAGCUUAAAACUACCUUCAUAUAACAUUGUGCUUCCAUUGUAUAACAAAGAAAAAAAAAAACCAGGAACUAGAAAAGUUUGCUGCUGACAGUGCUAGGACAUACAGACAAAAGUACUAUACAUGUUAUCUACUCAGAAUAUUAUUUAAGUCAUAUCUAAAGGGAUAUAAUGGACA